rnacentral:lncRNA from 1 species
GUUAGUACAGCCUAGGAAAUAAAUUAAAAAGUGUAUGCAAGAAGUGUGAUCUAAAGAUGGUAGUUCCUAAGUGAAAAGCUUGGAUGGAAGGGAAGGUUCUGCUGAAGUUUGGUUUCACAAAGACAAAAAGGUACCACUUCUUUCUCCUUAAGGAAAAAGAACGGAAACAAGAGUUGCGUCAAACACUGGGCGAAAAGACUACCAAGAAAAAAAACAGUCAUUUUAUGAGCCAUGAACUGCCCUGAAGACUUUGUUUCACAUUGAAGAAAGGACUCCAUUCAUAAGAGAACCACUUGCAUCUUCUCCCACUUUCCUUAACAAGAAACAGGAACCUGUUAAAUUUAAAGAUUGUGAAAGUUACAGAUGUGCAUACAUCCUAAAAUGUUUAUGAGUAAUUAUAUGACAAGCAGUCAUCAAAUAGUUUCAUUGUAGGCCAGAUGAUAGUCAUCUGCGGUAAGCCACCAAAAAGACAAAAAGGGAAGUGGGUAAGGAGAGCUGUUAGCAUUCUUUAAAGCAUUUAGCUAAAUGAAUAGACAAACUGGAAAAAGACAGUUUAAUUUUUAUCAUUAUGUUGUCCCACAUGUAAUGCAUAUGUACAUUCUUUUGAUU